rnacentral:tRNA from 1 species
GCCGGGUUUGGUCAGGUCGGCGAUCAGGGUUUCGCCGUCCUCGGCGUAAACCUGGGUGCCGAUCGGCAGUUCGAGGAUCGAAUCCUUGCCGCCGGCGCCA